CCUACGGGAGGCAGCAGUGGGGAAUCUUGCGCAAUGGGCGAAAGCCUGACGCAGCAACGCCGCGUGCGGGAAGAAGGCCCUAGGGUUGUAAACCGCUUUCAGUAGGAACGAAAAUGACGGUACCUGCAGAAGAAGGUGCGGCCAACUACGUGCCAGCAGCCGCGGUGACACGUAGGCACCAAGCGUUGUCCGGAUUUAUUGGGCGUAAAGAGCUCGUAGGCGGUUCAGUAAGUCGGGUGUGAAAACUCUGGGCUUAACCCAGAGCCGCCACUCGAUACUGCUGUGACUUGAGUUCGGUAGGGGAGCAGGGAAUUCCUAGUGUAGCGGUGAAAUGCGCAGAUAUUAGGAGGAACACCGGUGGCGAAGGCGCUGCUCUGGGCCGAUACUGACGCUGAAGAGCGAAAGCGUGGGUAGCAAACAGGAUUAGAUACCCUGGUAGUCCACGCCGUAAACGUUGGGCACUAGGUGUGGGUUCCAACCAACGGAAUCCGCGCCGUCGCUAACGCAUUAAGUGCCCCGCCUGGGGAGUACGGCGGCAACGCUAAAACUCAAAGGAAUUGACGG
rnacentral:rRNA from 1 species